rnacentral:rRNA from 1 species
AGAACGAACGCUGGCGGCAGGCUUAACACAUGCAAGUCGAGCGCUGUAGCAAUACAGAGCGGCGCACGGGUGAGUAACACGUGGGAACAUGCCUUUCGGUUCGGAAUAACUCAGGGAAACUUGUGCUAAUACCGGAUACGCCCUUACGGGGAAAGAUUUAUUGCCGAAAGAGUGGCCCGCGUUGGAUUAGCUAGUUGGCGGGGUAAAAGCCCACCAAGGCGACGAUCCAUAGCUGGUCUGAGAGGACGACCAGCCACACUGGGACUGAGACACGGCCCAGACUCCUACGGGAGGCAGCAGUGGGGAAUCUUGGACAAUGGGGGAAACCCUGAUCCAGCCAUGCCGCGUGAGUGAUGAAGGCCCUAGGGUUGUAAAACUCUUUCGGCGGGGACGAUAAUGACGGUACCCGCAGAAGAGCUCCGGCUAACUUCGCGCCAGCAGCCGC